GAAGAACAGUUGCAGGAAUCAGGCGACAAGUAACAACCACCAAAACCCAGACCAUCCGAGGAUGCCGGACAAGGCUUUGAACCUCCUCAACAAUUCCCAACUCUUCAGAGACGCCUAUGGAUUUGCAUUGAGACCUCAACACCUUCAAAGAUACAGAGAGUGCUGUGAAAUAUACAAGGUACUUAAUGGCUAGGUUUAUUAUUUAUUUAUUUAUCAUGACUCGUGGAGGGAUGUGUCAAGCAUGCAUUUAUAAAAUUUGAAAAUAAUUUGUUGCUCAUACUUUUCUGGUUGUAGGGAAAAGAUGACACAUUGUGUAUACGACUUUUAGGCAUUUUAUUAUAUUAGGAACCUAGGAAAACAAGGAACCACUAAAUGGGGUGGAAUAUGUUCUUUGGCUUAGUUGAGUUGAGUUUCUCAUAUUUGAGGGACCCAGAUGAAAUACUCAAAGUUAUCUUUCUUUUUCUUCCCCCUCCCUUACUUUUCUCAGCAAAUAAGCUAAAGAUGAAUCAUCAGAUGACCAACAUUGUUACGCAUUAAUAUUUGAUAUUUGAUUUGAUGAAGCCAUGUUUCUAGCAUUAAAUAGCAAGGACCAUUUUCUAGUCAGCUCUGUGUCAAUGUAUUCAGGAGGAGGAAGAGGAGAGGAUACAUAAAUGGAAGCAAUUCCUUGAACAGCAAAAGUAGUCUUCUCUAGUUUGUGCUUUUGCGGAGGAAUAUAACAACACUUUGCUUACUGAAAUUACACGGGAGGAAGCAGAGUCUGUUCCAGGGAGGGGUGGGGAAGGGAAUGUGUCAAGUAGCAAGAAGUCUGUUUCUGAUGGUUCAACCGAAAGUGACCAACAAAAGGAGGUGUUGGUGGCAAAAGAAACAAAAGCUGGUAAGGUCCGAAAAUGGGCCUGGAUUCGAUUGUCCCUUAGUGCCAUCGAGAGUACAAUGAGUUUACACAUUAAGGAGAGAGAAUAUGAAAGAUGAGCAGAUAGGUCGAAAUCAUCCUCCAUCCAUUGAAGAGGACUUUGAGGAAGUGCUCUCUUUUAAUUUGAUAUCAGAUGACAGUGGGAAUGAAUCCUUGGAAGCAAGUGCUGCUGCUAAUGGGAUCUCACCAGAACCUUUCUUUCCUUGGAAAAAAGAACUAGUGUGCCUUGUUCGUGGGGGACUGCCAAAGGCUCUCAGGGGAGAGGUGCAGUUGAUACUAUUGAAUUGGUUGGUUUUCGUGUUCUCAUGUUAGAGAGAAAUUAUUAUGUAUGUUACUAUUAUAUUGACAUUACAGGUAUGGCAAGCAUUUGUUGGUGCAAGAAAACGCAGAAUGGAGAGAUAUUACCAGAAUUUGAUAGCUUCAGAAACUAAUGCUGGUGAGGGCAAGGAUUAUGGCAGCUCUUUAUCAGUCAAUGGCAGUAAGCAGCCCAAUGCAGAUCAUGCCAUACCUGAGAAAUGGAGAAGGCAGAUUGAGAAGGUCAUUAGAUGCAUGGGCCUUGGACUUCAUCGUUCAAUCUUUUUGAUUCGAUUUGCCUCGAACAUUCCCAGGCCAUCCUGCUCUAGACAAGGUUGGUAGAGAUUCCUUAAGGCAUUUGCUUUUAGCGCAUGCUCAACAUAACCCCUCUGUUGGGUAUUGUCAGGUAACUAGAGUUCCAAGAGUUUCUAAUUUUUUUUUUCUCGUAAUUUAAUCACUAUUGAUAUUUAGGCUAUUGAAAUCAUGUUGAAAAAAAUGGUUAGUUGUCUUAAUCUAGUAGAAAGUGCUUUAACUUUGUGGAACUGUUGAUGCCUAAUUGUUUUGCUUCAUACUUGGUUUCCAUGUUGGUACCACACCUUCUUUUGCUACUUGUGCUACUUGAUACAAGGGUACAAUAUUUUUCUAACUUUGUACGUUAUUAUAUUCUUAUAUGUAAAGAUCAAAAGGGAAAGGCUUUCUGCUUCGGAGUUUUCACCUUGCCUUGUAGGUGGUAAAAUGACUUGCAUUAUUCUUUUGCCUUGAACAAUUGGUUUUCCUAAAAGUUUAAGUUGUUUGUAUUAUAAUCUCUAACACCAUCUGUCAUCUAUGGCCCCAUAGCUGCAUGUGAAGACACACAGGCCUGUAGGCAAACAAAUCCCGACAACCUCCUUUAAGCUUUGCACAUGGGCUCAAUAAAUUGGGGAAAUAAACAUGUGGUGAAUUUUGAACUCAUGAUCUCUCACUAUUUGAUAAUGACAUGACUUUUAUUUUAAGAGUUAUGUUUAUAAAGGUGAUGGUACAUAAAAUGUGUGUGGAUUUACCUUUAAAAGUAGGGGCAGUUGUAGCAUUUCAAAAGAAUCCAUCGUGCUCCUGCUUGCAUUGUUAUGAACAUCUUCCACACAAAUUUUCUGACCAUCAUCUCCCUGGUCUGACAUCAAACCUAAAAAUCAAAACAAACAGUUGGUUCUAUCCAAAUUUUCAACAAUGAUAUGUAAUCCAGAGUAUUGCAUCUGAAGAAAAGAUGAAACAACCAACUCACUUUUUCUUGUUUUUUAUCCCAGGAGGAAGCUGUCCCCAUAUACAUAAAUCCUCCCCUACCUUACACCCUCAUUUAUCUUUUGUCCAAGUCUCUAAACACUUGACAAGCAAGCUUAUCUUUUGUUCAAUAGCAACAAAACAGCUGUUUUGAUAGCUGAACACAAAAAAAAAUAUCGAAGUCUGUUCCACUUGGAAAACAUUGGGGGCAUAUGUGAUACAUAUAUAUUGAUUAUAUAGACAUACAUAUUGGAGCUACCAAAAAUAAAACCACCAGGAGAAUGGUCUAUCUCAAAACCUGAGGGUGCACAAAUUCACCUCACCCUAAAAUAAGGACCAUGAAAAAAAAAUGACCUCCAAACUUGCAGGUUGACCAUUGACCUGACCGACGGACCUGCGCCUAAAAAGAUGAGCACAACUACUCUUGUCCCCAUAUUCCCAAUAGUCAACAAAGCAUGUGGCAGCUUGCAGAAAAGCCAACCCCUUCACAAGAAUGCCAGCACCUAUACAGAAAAAUGCCUGUAAAAAGAAAUCACGGGUAACUAAGAGAAAGAGAGUCCUCCCCCUUUGAAAAAACCC